rnacentral:lncRNA from 1 species
CCUCAGGAAGUCCUGACAACAUAUGCCCAAGGUGCUCGGUCACAGCUUAGUUUUAUACAUUUUAGGGAGACACGAGACAUCAAACAACAUAUGUAAGAAGUACACUGUUUCGGUCUGGAAAGGCGGGACAACUUGAAGCAAAGCUAGGAAGACUUGAAGCAGAGAGGAGGCUUCCAGGUCACAAACAAAGCCAGCGCUCAACAUUUAGAAGAGUCCUAAGAAGUUGCCCGGUUCUAUUAUCAGUCAGAUGCUUGAGUCCCUCAUACAUUACGCUAGUAAGUGAUACUCUGGUUUCUACCUGAAUACUUCUAGGGCCUGGGAUUUCACUGUCUUCCAAGACAUUGUUCUUUAGGCAGUGACAUCUUUGGAGUAGUCCAGCUGUUUCACAGAAGGUAAUAAUACGGUGAUAAUAAAUAUCAUUCAAGUGAGUGAAAGGAUGGAUGGUACAUUUCAGG